UUCAAUUGGUCACACGUGACACGUAUGCAAUAAUAAAAAACAAAUGACAAUCCAACACGCAUAGAAGGGAAGAGAGAAACAUAAGAAAGAAGAUCAAAAGAAAAAGAGAAACAAAUGGCAGCACUGGGUGGCUUUACCGACAUCACUGGAGCACAGAAUAGCAUCGAUAUCGAAAAUCUUAAAUGGAAAAAUAAAUUGUCUUUGGAAGGGAGUAUCUCACCUCUGAAUAAUUUUAUAUCUAUAGAGAGGAAUUAGCCAAAUAAUUAUAACCAUAUGUGCAUAAAAAAUGAAAUUUAAUUCAUUUUUAUAUAUUUUUUGCAGUAUCUUUUUAGUUAUAAAUUGAAAUUUUAUCUUACUAACUCAUGCCAAUUUUUAAUACAAACUUUAUUAUGUAACUGACUAGCUUGGCAGCAAGAGUAAUAUAAUAUGUAUGAACUGAAUAAAUGUAGCUAUUGACUCUAGAAACGGUGUGGGGUUGUGCAUGUUUGCCACCCUAUUUCAGUAUAAAGUACUAGAGAUAAAUAUUACCAUCGAAAUUAAUAAAAUAAUUGAUUAUGUAUUAAUUUAUGCGUGUUUCGUCCAAAGUGUGGAUGGUGAUGAUUCGAACUAUAUAGCAGAAUGAUCUGGUGGAGCGGUCCCUUCUGUACUCAAUGCGAUUAUGUGAUCACAAUCUUGAAGUACUUGCACUCCUUGGAUCCAUCUUAAUAUUUAUGACUUUUAAUUUAAUAACAAACAAAAUAAAGCAUCAUCUAACAACCAAUUAGGUCAUUGUCAACUCUUAAAAAUGACAUUUACAUUGUCAUAAACAAUAAAAAAUUAUACGUAAUAAUAAAUGCAUUACAAACGUUUUAAACAAAUAUAUUAUAAACCAUUCAUAGUUGAUUAGUCAUAAACGUACUUUUUAUGAACAAAAACAUCUAUCAUUCUUAAAAUCACAUACUAUUAUGAUCAAAAGGCGAAAGAAUAUAUAGUUCAUUUUGUAUUCACCACACCUACUAUUAUGAACAAAAGUGCCUACAAAUAAAUAUUAUGAACAAAAGUUUAAAAUACUUAUAUAUUAUGAAUAUAAGCAUAUUAACUGUGC
rnacentral:lncRNA from 1 species